rnacentral:rRNA from 1 species
UACGUAGGCAGCGAGCGUUGUUCGAAGUUACUGGGCGUAAAGGGUGUGUAGGCGGUUGUUUAAGUUUGGUGUGAAAUCUCCCGGCUCAACUGGGAGGGUGCGCCGAAUACUGAAUGACUAGAGUGCGGGAGAGGAAAGUGGAAUUCCUGGUGUAGCGGUGAAAUGCGUAGAUAUCAGGAGGAACACCGGUGGUGUAGACGGCUUUCUGGACCGUAACUGACGCUGAGACACGAAAGCGUGGGUAGCAAACAGG